AGUUCGGAUUGGAGGCUGAAACCCGCCUCCAUGAAGUUGGAUUCGCUAGUAAUCGCGCAUCAGCCAUGGCGCGGUGAAUACGUUCCCGGGCCUUGUACACACCGCCCGUCACACCAUGGGAGUUUGUAACGCCCAAAGUCGGUGGCCUAACCUUUAUGGAGGGAGCCGCCUAAGGCGGGACAGAUGACUGGGGUGAAGUCGUAACAAGGUAGC
rnacentral:rRNA from 1 species